rnacentral:sRNA from 1 species
AGCAGCCGCGGUAAUUCCAGCUCCAAUAGCGUAUAUUAAAGUUGUUGCAGUUAAAAAGCUCGUAGUUGAAUUUCGGGACCAAUAUGUUGGUCGUGCCUCGGUACGCACUGGCAUUAUUGGUUUCUCCCUUCUGACGAACUACGAUGCCAUUAAUUUGGUGUCGUAGGGAAUCAGGACUGUUACUUUGAAAAAAUUAGAGUGUUUAAAGCAGGCUCGCGCUUGAAUACAUUAGCAUGGAAUAAUGAAAUAGGACGUUUGAUUCUAUUUUGUUGGUUUCUAGGAUCGACGUAAUGAUUAAUAGGGAUAGUUGGGGGCAUUAGUAUUCAAUUGUCAGAGGUGAAAUUCUUGGAUU